UGGGUGCCUCUGGUCUGCCGUUCACUCUGUCGAUAGUUUAGGCAGCGGCGGCGGCGGCGGCGGCGGCAACUGCGGAUGAGAGUUCACGUCCGUGGAGGCGCGGGCGAAGCUGGCGGUUCCCUCUCACCCCUCUACCUCUCUUCCCCUCGGGUCUCGUCUCUAUCUUCCGCUGUGCUCGGGGCGGGUGGCGGCGAACGUAAACACGUCUCUGCUCGGGGAAGACGUGUCCCGUCUCUCCGAGGAGGGGGAGGGGAGCGAGCGACGGCGGCUCAUGGAUGGUGUGCGCUGGCACCAACGGUGAGCGACGGCUGCUUGGCUCCCCGGAGGCGGACGACGGCUCAAUUCCGAGGAGGAGACGACGAGUGCAAGGGAGGCAAUCGGAAACAUCAAGUCGGCGACCAUGAAAGACUGUUUGUGAUAUUUCUCAAAGGUUAAGCGGCCUUUUCUGCUGUCAUUUGUAAAAAAAACUCCCUAUGAAGAGUACACGUGGCUUAGGUAACCGUGUGGUAGCCAUCAGGUGUCACCGGCUUGGGACUGAAGCGCGCAUUGAAUCUUCAAUGCUCCAUGCCCCAGUCUUUUGUGCGACUACUUGGACUUGUGCCGGUCAGUCCUAAGGGAUGCCAUUAUGAAAGAUGGGACCGGUUCGCCACUAAGUUAACAAUCAGAGGAAGAGACAUGGAGGAAUCGCAGAUGGGGAAUCGAAAACAGAUCGAAAAAAUCAACUCAAGGAAGAAGAGAGCUCGGCCUCGGAACAAUCGAAAACCUCGUCCUUAGAGCUAGCAAGGCUAUUGGCAGAAAUUAAACCAAGAGAGAACAUCAUCAAAGGCAAACAACAACCAUCAUUAGAUAAGAACUGGAAGAUAUCACAAAGAAAGUCCUUUUUGCAAACAGGAGAAGCAGAACCAAACCAGUAGAGUAAAACCUAUGGAACUGUUAUAUUUCUUAACAUAUAUAGUGGGCAUUCCAUUAAGCAAAUAAUUGGCAUAUUUGAACAUUCCCACUUCCGGAAAAUCUUUCGGUGAAACAUGAAUACAGGUACAAAAACUUUGUUUUCGGAAACCAAGUACUCUUAAGAUUUUUUCAGAAACCAGGACUCGUAUGCUAAACCCACCCAAAUGUGCUUAAAAGUUUCUUAUGCCAUGUCACCAUCAUAUAUUUUCUCAUGAAUCACUUUAUUUCUGAAGUAGAAGUAUUAUUCAUGCUCAUAAAAGAAGAGAAGAUACACUAAUGUUCCCUUUAAUAACUUGUAUUGGAUGACGAAGAACAUGCAAGUAAAAUACGUUCUGUGAUUGUUGAAUACACUCUUAUGCAGCCAAAACCUACA